CUCCUGGCAGCCCCACAGUCUGGGGCAGGUGGCAGGACUGCGGGGUGACCCUCUUUCCUCUGCCCCUCUCUGGCCCAGCAGCCAGCUUGCUCCAGGAUUUCCCCCAGAAACUUGAAUCUUCUUCCCUCCAUUAUGUAGAGCAGCUCAGGAAAAACUUGCAGACAUGAGCGCAAGUGGGCGCAGGCUUUCUUCGAGGCACGGCUCGCCUGGGGAAACGCCUGAUUCAGAGGCCGCCUCCACCGAACAGGGUCCUGCCUCCACCUCCACCUGACGGGAGAAGCAGCAGCCGCGUCAAACGAGAGCCGCCCGGGGGCCGGGGAGCUGCGCCGAGAGGGAGACGACGCUGUGCGAAGUCUAGAGGUGGUCUGUCUACAACUCCACAGUGCCAGGGACUCAUAUGCCUUGAAUUUGUUUCUCUGCUCUGUGUGGCUUUCAUUCCCAAGUUUACAUCUUGGUCCAAGAUGGCUCUGAAGCUCCAGAUGUUAUCAUCGCAAUCCAGGUAACAAGAAGGUGGAAGACAGGUAUGCAUGGGUAUUUGGGAAGCAAAAUGGAUGAACUGUGUCAAAGAAUGCACUUUUCCUCUCAAUAUCCAUUUCUCCCCUUUUCAAUAACAGAAUCUCAAUUUUCAUUCUAGUUAAUUGCCAUCCACAAUAAAUACUAUAUUCCCCGGCCUACCCUGCAGCUAAGUGUGGCCAUAGAAUCAAGCUUUACACAAUAAGAUAUAAGCAGAAGUACUGUAUGGAAUUUCUGGCAAGUUCCUCCUCUUUAAAGGGAACACAGAUAUGAUGGCUGGAGCUCUAGCAGCCAUCUUAGAUCAUAAAAGACAAAAGCUACAUUCUAAGAAUGACAGACUAAUGAACUAGAAGAAACCUGAAUAUCUGAAAACCUCAUGCAGGAACUGCACCAGCCAUGGACUGCCAACUCUGAACAUCUUUUAUGUAAGAGAGCAAUAAAUUUUAUCUUUUCCAUGCCCUGUUAUAUUUCUGUCUCCCAUGAAGCUGAAUCUAGUACAGUACUGAAGAAAUGUUUUUCUACCAGUUUCCAGCAUCAUUUUCUCCACCAACAGUGGCCAUCACGGAAUGUUCUUUCUCUAUCUUAACCUUUCUCACAGGGAGUAGGAAAUAAAGGACACAUAGCUCAUAACUUUUAUUUUUGCAAACUGUGAUGAUUUUAUAACAAAAGGAAAUAAAACAUGAACUAUCAACAAUUCCCUGUACAACUACUGUGAGAUAAAAUUAAAAGAAUACACCUCCAAAAUCGCAGAAGCACUUCCCAUUGCUACAUAACAUCUAUGACCAUGUUUGCAGUGUGUACUUGGUAAGGAAGAGAAUAUAUCUCUAGGUAAAUGGUUCUUUGUGUGUGUGUGUGUGUGUGUGUGUGUGUGUGUGUGUGUGGUACGUGGGCCUCUCACUGCUGUGGCCUCUCCCGUUGCGGAGCACAGGCUCCGGACGCGCAGGCUCAGCGGCCAUGGCUCACGGGCCCAGCCGCUCCGUGGCAUGUGGGAUCUUCCCGGACCGGGGCACGAACCCAUGUCCCCUGCAACGGCAGGCGGACUCUCAACCACUGCGCCACCAGGGAAGCCCGUGUUUUUCAAAAAGGAGGCCAGAAACUUCUAUGUCCUCCUCCAGAGCCAUGAGCACCACACAUGCAGCCCACCUGGGCUCCCGAAAGCCCAACCUCAGAAGGCCAACCCAGGUCACACUCAAAUCCUGCCAUGAGCAAAUUCCUUCCAGCAAAUGGGAGCCUUUCCGUCACUGAACUUCUAUGACCAGAUAAUGAAGAACUAAAUCUCAGUCCCAAACUCUGUUGUAGAAGAAUAGUUUUAGACAUAACGAGGUCCCCGUAUGUGUAGAACUUUAAGAAGCUGCAAUAAUGUUCUGUUUCUUGAUCUGGGUGGUGGUUACAUGAGUGUGUUCAGUUUGUGAUAAUUCGUCAAGCUGUACACUUAGAAUUGUGCAUUUUUCUUUGUGUAACUUAGACUUUUAUUUCUUUUAAGUUAUUAAAAACCUUUUUCCAUCCUACUUUGUCACUGCUUGCUUUAUUCAUAUGAUCCUUGGUCUCUCACAAGAUAAUAGAGAAGGCCUCACGAGAGCCUCGCAGAGUGCCAGGCUUCUAUUAAGAGCUUCAUAUUUGCCUAUUGACUUCACCAAAAUCUGGAGAUCCAGGAGAUAUCAGAGGGAAGAGGCAGUGCACAAGGCAGUAGGAUGGUUUUCCAAACUCCUUCAGUAUCAGGGAAACAAAAGCUUCCUGACCCCAAAGUCACAAGUUAAUAAAACAGCCAGGGCAAUCCAUACAGGCUCAGAGACAGAGGAAAGUCAGCUGUGCUGAUGAGAAGCCACACCCUGGGAAAGUAACAAUUUUGAUUAUGAAAAAGAUACACACAGACACAGAGAGACACACACACACCCCACCAAAAGCACAAUAUCAGUAGAGCCCAACUCCAGCCUUCCCACAAGAAAAAUUAACAUGAUGGGGUGAAAGUUAGUGCCUGUAUUGACAAGUGGCUUAAACCAGAAGUGACAAGCUGAACACUGUGAGUCCAUGACGGCUGAUUCUCAAGGAAAGUCAAAGUGUGAGCGAGAGUCCCUUGGUCUUGAAAAUGCUGAUGACUCCCAUUUACUCCAAGAAACACAAGGGUUGGUCCCAAAGCAGAAAGGCUGGAAGCAAAGGACCUUCAAAGCGGUAAGAUGGGAGCCCGCAGAACCACUGGUAGGAGGGUGUCAGUCUGAGCCUCCAGCUGGAGACCUUUGGACUCUGAGACGCUAAGCCUCAUGCACUGCGAGGUGGGUGGUGAGGUCUUUUCCAUUUCGGCUGUUUCUCCGGGUGCCGGAGGGCAGAGUCCCAUCUGGCAGGGCUGGGCUGUCGUACCAAACAAGAAGUCACCCCCCCCAGGAGUCUCGCCCACGCUCUGCCCUUGUCCCUCUGUGCCUGGGUGGAGAGGGAGGCAGGCGAUGGAAGGAAGCAGGGGGAGGAUUUGAUGCCAGGGAGGUGACUAAGGUCUGAUGCAAACACUAUGCGUGCGUGGGACUCGUGAGACAGACACGGAGCAAACGGGUGUUCUGGUCACGGGGCAGGGGAGCCCGACGGCCCCCAAAGCUCAUUAGGUAAAAUGUGCAUUCAAUGUCUAGGUCAGUCUAAGGUGGAAGGGGAACCAAGAUGC